rnacentral:lncRNA from 1 species
CUUACCCGGGUUUUGUCCCAGUUGGGUUUUCUCGGGAAGGUUUUUAACGAGGCAGCAAAGGGAACACCUGGAGAUGUUUGCAGUACAAGUGUAUCAUAUCAGCUCCUCCGUAUAUUCGUCAAGCCCGACAUGAUACUGGGACUGGAUUAGUGCCAUCUCUAGAUGUAUAGAAAGGCUACGUCCAUCUCCAGCUUUAUAGAAAGUCUACGGCCAUCUCCAAAUGAAUGAAAAGGCUACGGCCAUCUCCAAAUUAAUAAAAAGGCUACGGCCAUCUCCAAGUGGACGAAAGGGCUACGGCCAACUCCAAGUUUAUGAAGGGGCUAAGGCAAUCAAAUUUUACAUGGCUAAGGCCAUCAUUUUUACAUGGAUAAGGCCAUUGUUUUAACACAGUUAAGGCCAUCGAAUUUAACACGGCUACGACCACCAUUUUUACAUGGCUAAGGCCAUUGUUUUAACACGGCUAAGGCCGUCGAAUUUUGCAUGGCUAAGGCCAUAGUUUUAACACGGCUAAGGCCAUCGAUUUUUACAUGGCUAAGGCUAUUGUUUUA